rnacentral:rRNA from 1 species
GAGGAGCUUGCUCUUCUGGAUGAGUUGCGAACGGGUGAGUAACGCGUAGGUAACCUGCCUGGUAGCGGGGGAUAACUAUUGGAAACGAUAGCUAAUACCGCAUAAGAGUAGAUGUUGCAUGACAUUUACUUAAAAGGUGCAAUUGCAUCACUACCAGAUGGACCUGCGUUGUAUUAGCUAGUUGGUGGGGUAACGGCUCACCAAGGCGACGAUACAUAGCCGACCUGAGAGGGUGAUCGGCCACACUGGGACUGAGACACGGCCCAGACUCCUAC